GAUAAGGUGACCCGCCUCAUAGAUUAACUGUGUGGUUUCCUUUACUCAUAGAACUACCUGUUAGAUCUGUGGGAAAGAACUACAAGACAGAG
rnacentral:snoRNA from 1 species